rnacentral:rRNA from 1 species
CCCGCACAAGCGGUGGAGUAUGUGGUUUAAUUCGACGCAACGCGCAGAACCUUUACCUGGUCUUGACAUCCCGAGAAUCUUCUGGAAACAGUUGAGUGCCUUCAACCGAAGGAGCUUGGAGACAGGUGCUGCAUGGCUGUCGUCAGCUCGUGUCGUGAGAUGUUGGGUUAAGUCCCGCAACGAGCGCAACCCUCGCCUUUAGUUGCCAGCAUUAAGUUGGGCACUCUAGAGGGACUGCCGGUGUCAAACCGGAGGAAGGUGGGGAUGACGUCAAGUCCUCAUGGCCUUUAUGACCAGGGCUACACACGUACUACAAUGGCCGGCACAAAGGGCAGCAAGCCUGCGAAGGUAAGCUAAUCCCGAAAAACCGGUCUCAGUCCGGAUCGCAGUCUGCAACUCGACUGCGUGAAGUUGGAAUCGCUAGUAAUCGUGGAUCAGCAUGCCACGGUGAAUACGUUCCCGGGCCUU